GAUGAACGCUGGCGGCGUGCCUAAUACAUGCAAGUCGAGCGAACAGAUGAGGCGCUUGCUCCUCUGACGUUAGCGGCGGACGGGUGAGUAACACGUGGAUAACCUACCUAUAAGACUGGGAUAACUUCGGGAAACCGGAGCUAAUACCGGAUAAUAUCUUUAACCGCAUGGUUCAAUAGUUUAAGACGGUUUUGCUGUCACUUAUAGAUGUAUCCGCGCAUCAUUAGCUAGUUGGUAAGGUAACGGCUUACCAAGGCCACGAUGCGUAGCCGACCUGAGAGGGGGAGCGGCCACACUGGAACUGAGACACGGACCAGACUCCGACGGGAGGCAGCAGUAGGGAAUCGUGCGCAAGGGGCGAAAACCUGACGGAGCAACGACGCGUGAGUGAGGAAGGUCUUCGGGUCGUAAAACGCUGUUAUUAGGGAAGAACAAAUGUGUAAGUAACUAUGCACGUCUUGACGGGACCUAAUCAGAAAGCCACGGCUAACUACGUG
rnacentral:rRNA from 1 species